rnacentral:rRNA from 1 species
AGAGUUUGAUCCUGGCUCAGAGCGAACGUUAGCGGCGCGCUUAACACAUGCAAGUCGCGCGAGAAAGGGUCCUUCGGGGCCCCGGUAAAGCGGCGCACGGGUGCGUAACACGUAGGUAAUCUGCCCUUUGGUGGGGGAUAACGUUUCGAAAGGAACGCUAAUACCGCAUGAGACCUCAGUCAUCUCGGUGAUUGAGGGGAAAGCUGGCCUCUCCAUGGAAGCUAGCGCCAGAGGAUGAGCCUGCGGCCCAUCAGCUUGUUGGUAGGGUAACGGCCUACCAAGGCUAAGACGGGUAGCUGGUCUGAGAGGAUGAUCAGCCACACUGGCACUGAAACACGGGCCAGACUCCUACGGGAGGCAGCAGUGGGGAAUAUUGGACAAUGGGCGCAAGCCUGAUCCAGCGACGCCGCGUGAGUGAUGAAGGCCUUCGGGUUGUAAAGCUCUGUGGGGAGGGACGAAAAAGGUAGGUUCGAAUAGGGCCUGCCCUUGACGGUACCUCCUUAGCAAGCACCGGCUAACUCUGUGCCAGCAGCCGCGGUAAGACAGAGGGUGCGAACGUUGCUCGGAAUUACUGGGCGUAAAGCGCGUGUAGGCGGACUCGCAAGUCGGGUGUGAAAUCCCUGGGCUCAACCCAGGAACUGCAUCCGAAACUGCGUGUCUCGAGUGCUGGAGAGGGAAGCGGAAUUCCUGGUGUAGAGGUGAAAUUCGUAGAUAUCAGGAGGAACACCGGUGGCGAAGGCGGCUUCCUGGACAGUAACUGACGCUGAGACGCGAAAGCGUGGGGAGCAAACAGGAUUAGAUACCCUGGUAGUCCACGCUGUAAACGAUGAGUGCUAGGUGUUGCGGGUUUUGACCCCUGCGGCGCCGUAGCUAACGCGUUAAGCACUCCGCCUGGGGAGUACGGCCGCAAGGCUAAAACUCAAAGGAAUUGACGG